GGUUAACGCUGGCGGCGUGCCUAACACAUGCAAGUCGAACGGUUCUAAGCGCGAGCUUAGGAUAGUGGCGAACGGGUGAGUAAAAGGUAGGAAUCUACCCCUUGGACGGAGAUAGCUACUGGAAACGGUAGGUAAACUUCGAUAAGCCCGAGAGGGGAAAGUGGUGAGACAGCCGAGGGAUGAGCCUACUCUCCAUCAGGUAGUUGGUGAGAUAAAAGCUUACCAAGCCGAUGACGGAUAACCGGUGUGAGAGCAUGAACGGUCACAAGGGCACUGAGAGACGGGCCCUACUCCUACGGGAGGCAGCAGUGGGGAAUCUUGGACAAUGGGCGAAAGCCUGAUCCAGCGACGCCGCGUGGAGGAAGAAGUCCUUCGGGAUGUAAACUUCUGAACUAGCCGAAUAAAAGGCCUGUGGACACACAGGAGAAGAAAGUAGGCUAGGAAAAGUCCUGGCUAACUACGUGCCAGCAGCCGCGGUAAGACGUAGGGGGCAAGCGUUACCCGGAAUUACUGGGCGUAAAGGGGGCGUAGGCGGUAAAAGAAGUCAUCUGUGAAAACCUAUUGCUCAACGAUAGGCUAGCGGAUGAAACUGAAUUACUUGAGGGCACCAGAGGUAGACGGAAUUACCCGAGUAGGGGUGAAAUCCGCAGAUACGGGUAGGAACGCCGGUGGAGAAGUCGGUCUACUGGGGUGCACCAGACGCUGAGGCCCGAAAGCUAGGGGAGCAAACCGGAUUAGAUACCCGGGUAGUCCUAGCCGUAAACGAUGCUCACUAGGUGUAGGGAGUGAUAAACUCUCUGUGCUGAAGCGAACGCGCUAAGUGAGCCGCCUGGGGAGUACGUCCGCAAGGAUGA
rnacentral:rRNA from 1 species